CUCUAACCAAUUGCAUUUUUAACUUCGUUCAAAACAAACAUAGAAGAAGAAAGAGAAAGAAUUACGGACAGUCCAACUGGAAAUUAUCAAAUUAUUUUCAUUAACUCAUCAUCGCGGAUAGUGAAAAAACAAAAACACCACAGAAGCUAAAACACUUGUGUUUGGAAAGUGAAAACACUGUGGGAGGAAGAAAAUUGAAGUCUAAUUAUAAAUUGUUACUUUGGAUAUCCAACCGAUCCCACUAUGGAUGCAUUUCAAGAUCGUUUCAAUCGGUUCACAACGGGACUGAACGAUAAGUAUGAACCUUAUGUCAAGCAACAUUUGGCUAAAGUCUAUAUGAUGUUGGGCGGAACAUCGGCCGUAACAGCCAUUGGUUCCAUGCUCCAAAUGAAGCACAUUGUUGAUUUGGGUUUCCUGGCGGCAUUGGGCUCACUUUUCUUGGUAUUAGGCCUGUUAUUCUACCGCGACAAUGGCAAAAACUAUUACACCCGAGUUGCCAUGUUGUACGCUUUUGGCUUUUGUUCUGGACAAUCUAUGGGACCCCUAUUAAGUUAUGUCGUCAGAGUUGAUCCAUCGAUUAUAGUUACGGCAUUAGUUGGUACAUUCAUAACUUUUGCAUCAUUGUCUGCGGCUGCUUUAUUGGCUGGUCGCGGCCAAUUUCUAUUUUUGGGUGGAAUUUUGAUAAGUGUGGUAAAUACCAUGGCCCUUUUAAGCCUUAUGAACAUCUUUUUCAAAUCGGUCAUUGUGCAAAUGGGCCAACUUUACAUUGGUGUUAUCGUUAUGGCCGGCUUCAUCUUGUUUGAUACACAAAGCAUUGUUGAAAAAGUUCGCCUUGGUAAUCGGGAUGUUGUACAGCAUGCAUUGGAUUUGUUCUUUGAUGUUUUGAAUAUGUUCAGGCGUUUGGUGAUAAUUCUUACACAAAAGUUGAGAGAAUAUUCGAUUUCCUAAAUAUGUAACAUUGUUGUUGGGAUAGCACGAAAACCCAUUCCGAUCAAAUGCAAAUUCCGAAUUAAAUGAGGAACGCAGACGCGAAAACGAGCGCAAGCGUCGCUAAAUGCAGUGGAGUUGUAACACCUUGGGAUAUCUUUUAAGGCGUCAGUCGUUUACAAUUGCCAUAUUUAUAAAGGCGAUCUAGUUUUUUCUAAAAUUGAGAAGUCUCAAUAUAUUUUAGGAUUUAAUUUACAUGAAAAGAAAUUUUGUUGAAAUCAAAAUUGUAUAUUAACUAAUUACAAUAUUAUUAAAAUACUAAAAAACCAACAACAACCAA